AAAAAAAUGAACGAAAAACAAAUAUGUAACACAUAAACAAACGACAACCACUGAAUAUACAGGCUCCUGACUUGGGACAGGCACAUACAUAAUGAUGUGGCGGGGUUAAACAUGUUAGCGGGAUCCCAACCCUUCCCCUAACCUGGGACAGUGGUAUAACAGUACAACAUAAGAACGAACUAUAAAAAUCAGUUGAAAAAGGCUUAACUCAUCAGAUGGACAAAAAUAUAAGUGGACGUGGCCGGGUACUUAUACAUCCCGACACAAAAAGACACAAUGAACAGAUCUGAGAGUACUCGCAGUUAUCUGACAGCUAGUUCAAAGCCACUAGCAACUAAUAAAAAAUCAUGCAUCUAAGACUAAACUAUUAAUCCGUACACAUCCAACAUCCAAUGGAUUUAGUGUAAAGACAUCAUAAACAGCCAGAGAAAAACAUGACCUUGUGCAAUGCCAAGUUACAGGUAUCGACAGAUUGUAGAUCCAU
rnacentral:lncRNA from 1 species